AUGAACGCUAGCUACAGGCUUAACACAUGCAAGUCGAGGGGCAUCAGGAAGAAAGCUUGCUUUCUUUGCUGGCGACCGGCGCACGGGUGAGUAACACGUAUCCAACCUGCCCUUUACUCGGGGAUAGCCUUUCGAAAGAAAGAUUAAUACCCGAUGGCAUAAUGAUUCCGCAUGGUUUCAUUAUUAAAGGAUUCCGGUAAAGGAUGGGGAUGCGUUCCAUUAGGUUGUUGGUGAGGUAACGGCUCACCAAGCCUUCGAUGGAUAGGGGUUCUGAGAGGAAGGUCCCCCACAUUGGAACUGAGACACGGUCCAAACUCCUACGGGAGGCAGCAGUGAGGAAUAUUGGUCAAUGGGCGCUAGCCUGAACCAGCCAAGUAGCGUGAAGGAUGAAGGCUCUAUGGGUCGUAAACUUCUUUUAUAUAAGAAUAAAGUGCAGUAUGUAUACUGUUUUGUAUGUAUUAUAUGAAUAAGGAUCGGCUAACUCCGUGCCAGCAGCCGUGGUAAUACGGAGGAUCCGAGCGUUAUCUGGAUUUAUUGGGUUUAAAGGGAGCGUAGGUGGACUGGUAAGUCAGUUGUGAAAGUUUGCGGCUCAACCGUAAAAUUGCAGUUGAUACUGUCAGUCUUGAGUACAGUAGAGGUGGGCGGAAUUCGUGGUGUAGCGGUGAAAUGCUUAGAUAUCACGAAGAACUCCGAUUGCGAAGGCAGCUCACUGGACUGCAACUGACACUGAUGCUCGAAAGUGUGGGUAUCAAACAGGAUUAGAUACCCUGGUAGUCCACACAGUAAACGAUGAAUACUCGCUGUUUGCGAUAUACAGUAAGCGGCCAAGCGAAAGCAUUAAGUAUUCCACCUGGGGAGUACGCCGGCAACGGUGAAACUCAAAGGAAUUGACGGGGGCCCGCACAAGCGGAGGAACAUGUGGUUUAAUUCGAUGAUACGCGAGGAACCUUACCCGGGCUUAAAUUGCAGUGGAAUGAUGUGGAAACAUGUCAGUGAGCAAUCACCGCUGUGAAGGUGCUGCAUGGUUGUCGUCAGCUCGUGCCGUGAGGUGUCGGCUUAAGUGCCAUAACGAGCGCAACCCUUAUCUUUAGUUACUAACAGGUCAUGCUGAGGACUCUGGAGAGACUGCCGUCGUAAGAUGUGAGGAAGGUGGGGAUGACGUCAAAUCAGCACGGCCCUUACGUCCGGGGCUACACACGUGUUACAAUGGGGGGUACAGAAGGCAGCUAGCGGGUGACCGUAUGCUAAUCCCAAAAUCCUCUCUCAGUUCGGAUCGAAGUCUGCAACCCGACUUCGUGAAGCUGGAUUCGCUAGUAAUCGCGCAUCAGCCACGGCGCGGUGAAUACGUUCCCGGGCCUUGUACACACCGCCCGUCAAGCCAUGGGAGCCGGGGGUACCUGAAGUACGUAACCGCAAGGAUCGUCCUAGGGUAAAACUGGUGACUGGGGCU
rnacentral:rRNA from 1 species